AACUAAGUUUGGUAUUGGUAUGAGCUUUCGUGUACAUGCACACUUUUUCAGAUACACUGUUUCACUGUUUUUGUUUCAGUGUAUCUGAAAAAGUGUGCAUGCACAUGAAAGCUCAUACCAAUAACAAACUUAGUUGG